CUACGGGACGCAGCAGUGAGGAAUAUUGCACAAUGGGGGGAACCCUGAUGCAGCAACGCCGCGUGGAGGAUGACGCAUUUCGGUGUGUAAACUCCUUUUAUAUGUCAAGAAAAUGACGGUAGCAUAUGAAUAAGCACCGGCUAACUCCGUGCCAGCAGCCGCGGUAAUACGGAGGGUGCAAGCGUUACUCGGAAUCACUGGGCGUAAAGGACGCGUAGGCGGGUUGGAAAGUCAGGUGUGAAAUCCUACAGCUUAACUGUAGAACUGCACUUGAAGCUUCUAAUCUAGAGUAUGGGAGGGGGAGAUGGAAUUAGUGGUGUAGGGGUAAAAUCCGUAGAUAUCACUAGGAAUACCUAAAGCGAAGGCGAUCUCCUGGAACAUUACUGAUGCUAAGGCGUGAAAGCGUGGGGAGCAAACAGGAUUAGAUACCCCGGUAGUC
rnacentral:rRNA from 1 species